rnacentral:rRNA from 1 species
GACGAACCGUGCGAACGUUGUUCGGAAUCACUGGGCUUAAAGGGCGCGUAGGCGGGCUGCCAAGUCCGGGGUGAAAUCUUUCGGCUCAACCGGAAAAGUGCCUUGGAUACUGGCGGUCUAGAGGGAGGUAGGGGCAUGUGGAACUUCCGGUGGAGCGGUGAAAUGCGUUGAUAUCGGAAGGAACGCCGGUGGCGAAAGCGACGUGCUGGAUCUCUUCUGACGCUGAGUGCGCGAAAGCUAGGGGAGCGAACGGG